rnacentral:rRNA from 1 species
ACUCCUACGGGAGGCAGCAGUAGGGAAUCUUCCACAAUGGGCGCAAGCCUGAUGGAGCAACACCGCGUGAGUGAAGAAGGGUUUCGGCUCGUAAAGCUCUGUUGUUAAAGAAGAACACGUAUGAGAGUAACUGUUCAUACGUUGACGGUAUUUAACCAGAAAGUCACGGCUAACUACGUGCCAGCAGCCGCGGUAAUACGUAGGUGGCAAGCGUUAUCCGGAUUUAUUGGGCGUAAAGAGAGUGCAGGCGGUUUUCUAAGUCUGAUGUGAAAGCCUUCGGCUUAACCGGAGAAGUGCAUCGGAAACUGGAUAACUUGAGUGCAGAAGAGGGUAGUGGAACUCCAUGUGUAGCGGUGGAAUGCGUAGAUAUAUGGAAGAACACCAGUGGCGAAGGCGGCUACCUGGUCUGCAACUGACGCUGAGACUCGAAAGCACGGGUAGCGAACAGGAUUAGAUACCCUGGUAGGAAAGCG